AACGCUAGCUACAGGCUUAACACAUGCAAGUCGAGGGGUAGCAGGGUAGCAAUACCGCUGACGACCGGCGCACGGGUGAGUAACACGUAUCCAACCUACCAUUCACACGGGGAUAGCCUUUCGAAAGAAAGAUUAAUACCCGAUAGUAUAACGAUAAGGCAUCUUAUUGUUAUUAAAGAAUUUCGGUGUUUGAUGGGGAUGCGCUCCAUUAGAUUGUUGGUGAGGUAACGGCUCACCAAGUCUUCGGUGGAUAGGGGUUCUGAGAGGAAGGUCCCCCACAUUGGAACUGAGACACGGUCCAAACUCCUACGGGAGGCAGCAGUGAGGAAUAUUGGUCAAUGGACGAGAGUCUGAACCAGCCAAGUAGCGUGAAGGAUGAAGGCCCUAUGGGUCGUAAACUUCUUUUAUAGGGGAAUAAAGUGCGGAACGUGUUCCGCUUUGUAUGUACCCUACGAAUAAGGAUCGGCUAACUCCGUGCCAGCAGCCGCGGUAAUACAGAGGAUCCGAGCGUUAUCCGGAUUUAUUGGGUUUAAAGGGAGCGUAGGUGGAUAUAUAAGUCAGUUGUGAAAGUUUGCGGCUCAACCGUAAAAUUGCAGUUGAUACUGUAUAUCUUGAGUGUACAAGAGGUGGGCGGAAUUCGUGGUGUAGCGGUGAAAUGCUUAGAUAUCACGAAGAACUCCGAUUG
rnacentral:rRNA from 1 species